UUGGUGGUGAUGAGGAUGUUUUUGGAGCCGAUCAGAGACGGGUUGAUGAGGACGUUGGAGACGGCCGGCGUGGACGGCGUCGCUGUCGGGACAAGAGAAGCGGGCAAGACAAAGACUAAAUAAACAGCAGCUUUCUUCACUCAACUCCAGACCUCCCAUGUAUGUUUAAACAGACUUGACCUCUCAGUGCUUUGAGCCCAGAUAUAUAACUGGUGUCACACUGCUUCAGAUUAAAGCAAGUGACUGGGAGGACUGGUUCUUACUGGUUUUGGUGGUGGCCGUCUGGGAGGGCGGUGGGAUCUGCACGGUGAACCUCUGACCCGUCAGAGACACCGGAGCUCCGACUUUAGUGGUGACGGACUGGACAGACGCAGUUCCUGUGGGGAAAACACUGGUCAGAACAGACUGGUCCAGCUGGGACCAAACAAAAGCCAAACAUCUGUUCAGGUAACUGCAGCAGAAAAUACUGAGAGCAAGUGAGUUCCCAUCAGAUUCUUCUCCUUUACUCCAGCUCUCCAGACAAACACCUAUAAUGGUGCCACUGUGACUAUUGUCAUUGCUGAUUAAUCUCUGGAUGAUUCUUUUGGUGUUGACAAUAAAAUGUGGAAAAUGAGAACAAGUGAAAAGUGCCUCUUGUAAUUUCCCACAGUCCAAGUCAACGUUUUGUAUCGUUCAGCAUCAUUCAGGACGAAGAAAGCACCAAAUCCCCACAUCACAUUUUUACUACAUAAAAACGGACUAAAGGAAAUUAUUCAUUUAACUAAAUAGUUGCAUUUCGAUUUUCUGUCGAUCGGACUGAGAGACUAAUGGAUAAUCUCUGUAGCUCUGCACCUUUUAGUCCAAACACAACAUCAGAGUCAAAACGCUGCUGCAGCAGUUGUCCAACUUAUUUUCAGGCAGAAAGAUUUUUUAAACAAACGUAGUAACGUGAUCCGGCCGGUGAGCUCUGAUAAACUAGGCCUGGACACGGCGCUGAUCUCUGGGUUCGAUUUCAAUUCACAAAGUCCAGAAUCGAUUCGAUUGGAUUCGAUUCUUGUUGAUUCUUCUACGUCAGAUAAACAGAUGAUGCGUAAAGCGAUUCUCCGACUUUAUUCUGGGAACUUAAACCUCUUCUACGUUCAACAUGUGAACAACGCUGUCGUUUCCAUCAGCGUAAAAAAGUCACAUUAUCGACUGAACUUCAAACACUUUCCAGGUUUAUUUUCCUCUGCAAAUGCAAACGAGUAAAACAUGAUACAUCUGCUUGUUUUCAGUUCUGCAUGAGCAAGAACAACAAAGAUCCUGCGUAUGUUACAAAGGCGUCGUCAUUCUGCAUUAAAUAAAUCAAUAACAAUAAUGUCCCAUCCAGCUACACAUGGACUGUGAGUAGCAGACGCUUCAGCUGAGCACAGACGGGACAGAAUUUUACAGCUCUGUUACUCUGGUCUGGAAUUUGUAUUUAACCUCUUUGUGUUUCCCCCCUCUCAAUAAAAUGUCUGACAAACAUCUGCAUCCUGUCCACGUGACGGGACUCACCGAGGGUCGGCGUGGUCGGUCUGCUGGAGACGGAGCUGACGCUGAGGCGAGGCACCGAUAUCCUGCCGGCGGACGACGACACCUGGAAGAAAGAACUCACGUGACGGAGCUGUACCGUAGGAUAAAAGGAAAACCAGAACAGCACCAGAAACUACGUAAAUGAGAAGAACUGCAUCGGGAAUUCAGCCAGAAAUCGGUGAUCAGGAGGAGCAGCAGGAGACCGAACGGAGGUCGACGGGCGACUUACGUCUCGCGGUGGCGGU